AUUGAACGCUGGCGGCAGGCCUAACACAUGCAAGUCGAGCGGAUGAAGGGAGCUUGCUCCUGGAUUCAGCGGCGGACGGGUGAGUAAUGCCUAGGAAUCUGCCUGGUAGUGGGGGAUAACGUCUGGAAACGGGCGCUAAUACCGCAUACGUCCUGAGGGUGAAGGUGGGGGGUCUUCGGACCUCACGCUCUCAGAUGAGCCUAGGUCGGAUUAGCUAGUUGGUGGGGUAAAGGCCUACCAAGGCGACGAUCCGUAACUGGUCUGAGAGGAUGAUCAGUCACACUGGAACUGAGACACGGUCCAGACUCCUACGGGAGGCAGCAGUGGGGAAUAUUGGACAAUGGGCGAAAGCCUGAUCCAGCCAGGCCGCGUGUGUGAAGAAGGUCUUCGGAUUGUAAAGCACUUUAAGUUGGGAGGAAGGGCAGUAAGUUAAUACCUUGCUGUUUUGACGGUACCAACAGAAUAAGCACCGGCUAACUUCGUG
rnacentral:rRNA from 1 species